CUUACGGAAUGUGGAGCCCAUUUAUUUUGCAUGCACAUUUAAUGUGAAAAAUUAUUUUUAAGUUCUAAAGCAACCUCUCGGAAAUGCUAAGAACUGCAAAGCUACGCAGACCCUGAUGCAUUCCUAAAUAUAAUGAAGAAAAAACAGAAAUGCACCAAGAAUUGAAAACCCUGGUUACUCACGAUUCUUUUCACCUUUCCACCUUGACCCAGCUUUCGUUCUGUCCGAGACACCCACAGGAGAAGUUAUCUCAGCCAUCGAGAGCAGCAGCAUCAGUAACAGCACAGCCAUGCCAGACUCAGCAAUUCUGCUCUUAGAAGUUUUACCCAAGAGAAAAGGAAAACACAUGCCCACAUGAAGAGUGUUUAUAUCAGCUUUAUUCAUAAUCACCUCCACCUGGUAACAACCAAUUGUCCACCGAAUGAGUCUUGGUUCCUGUGUUUGCUCCCUGAGUGAAAAAUCAUGCUUCAAAUUGAUUCAUAGAUCUGGCAAAUACCACUGAUACUAGCAGCUGUUUGCUAAUAUUCUGAAUAGGUCAGAUCUUUGGUACAGAUGCUGCCAUCACAAUCCUAGAAGACUCACCAUUGCUUCACAGAGUGGAGGGUAAUAUGGUUUGACUGUGUCCCCACCCAAAUCUCAUCUUGAGCUCCCAUAAUCCCCAUGUGUCAUGAGAGAAACCUGGUGGGAGGUAACUGAAUCAUGGGGGCAGGUAUUUCCCAUGCUGCUGUCAUGAUCUUGAAUAAGUCUCACAAGAUCUGAUGGUUAAACAGCAGUUCCCCUGCACAUGCUCUUUCACCUGCCACCACGUGAGACAUGACUUUGUUCCUCCUUUGCCUUCCACCAUGAUUGUGAGGCCUCCCCAGCCAUGUGGAGCUCUGAGUCCAUUAAACCUCUUUUUCUUUAUAAAUUACCCAGCCUUGGGUAUUUCUUCAUAGCAAUAUGACGAUGAACUAAUAGAGAAGAAAGAAAGAAUGAUACAGGGAAAGAAGAUGGAGGUGAAGGUCAGCUCUGAUCUGGCUCACAGUUUGGGGAGUAAUUACAAAAUUUUAAUUAGGGCCUUGAGAAACAACUCAAUUGAGUUUUCUAUCACCCAAUUCCACAUGAAGGAAAGAAAGCAGCUUAAUGAUUCUAGGAGUUAAGAGGCUUUGGGGCAAAAAAGAAAAGCAUCCUCACAGAUUAUUUCUCAUUUUAAAUAGCAAGAAAAAAAAAUGUUGAUUAUGCCUAGAAGAUGAAAUAAAGGGGAGGGAGUCAGUCAAAGCGGCAUAAUAAAGAUAGACUUAUUUUCAGCACAAUGAGAUUUAAUCAGCAGUAGAGGCAAGGAAAUGUUAACGGGCAGAGAAGGUAGACCUCACAACAAGAACUCAGCCUGGGUGUGGCAGUAAGGCAGGGCAGAAAUGUUUGCCAAACAAUGUUCUUUAUUCCAAGAUACCAAGACAAUUGUUUUCUACUUCUUAUGAAACACAAUGCUUUCUCCCCAGCAUGUCUUGUUCCACAACAGUGAGUAUGAAGGAUCUGGAAGAAUGGGCCACUCAGAAGAGUUGCUGGUAAAGGAUGCAUGAGGGGAUGAAUGCUCAACAGUAUCUUCACCCUGACAUUUUUUAUCAUGUGUUCACUGGACAAGAAAGACGCCACUCUAGGAUUUAAGAUUUACUGUGUUAAAAGGAAAAAAAAGGAGAAAAAAGCAAAAAUACGAAUCUAAGAAAAAAUAUAUGGAGACGAGGACCUUCUAAGCAUGAAAACAAAGAUAGAAAUAUUAAAACGAAACACUAUGAUUUUCCAUAGGAAAAAAAAAACUGGUGAAAAGGAGUGGGGAGCAUUUCCAACCUAACAAAAUGUUAAUACUUUUUAGCAUAAAGCAAAACAAAUACAACAUAUUUCAGCAUCAAAUCACACAAAUAAAAUGACCCCAAUAGAAACCAGAAGAAUAGGUACAUAUCCAAUUUGCCAGAGUAAUACUUAAAAAGGAAAAAAAAAUCAAAUUGAAACCCAAACAAAACUUUCUUUACUAUUACUAGGAAAGCAAUAAAUUUAAACUAAAAAAUAUUUAAAAACUGAAAAUUUAUACUAUCAUGACCCUAUAAAACUGUAUCCAACUUUAUGCUAACUUAUUAAACGUUUUUAAGUGGUGACAUUGAAUUAUUUUAACUAUGAUUAUGUUGGUAAUUUCCUGAAGUACAAUAUCAAUAUGCAUCACAUUUAUACUUUACUACUCAGGAAAAAAAUGUAUACCUUGCUUACAAUAAACAUGUUCCUAUGUUCAAUUUUCCUCUAAAAAUUCCUUCCUAUGGUUUACUCAUUUUGUGGUUGCUUAAUAUGAACACAAUUCUCUUUAAAAUGUAAUCAAUCAAUUGAUAGGUAUCAUGCUUUGACUUGUGGUCACACAAAAAGUGCUAAAAUUAGUUAUUCUCUACAAAAAAUCAUAACAUUUGUAUUUUAAGUGUUAAGUGUGUGACACUGAAUGUUCAUUUGUAUUUGCAUGUAAUUUACCACAGGCAUUGUCAACAGAUUAAGAGAAUUAGUUUUGAUAAGGACUAUAUAAGGAGGACAAGGAAAGAGUAUAUAGAACCAAUAAUAUUUUCAUUGAGAUUAACCAAAUCUUUUGAUUUUUUCCCCAAUGACUUAUUAAUUCUCCGCAUGCAUUUUUUCUCUGAAAAUGUUACCAUUUAAAAGUAAUCUUUCAAUUAGAAAAAAGAAUAUAUUGAAUAGAAGUCUAUAUUCAGUAAAAUGUCUUUUCAGACAAUGGAAAACUGUACAGAUUUUCAUAAUAAAACCAGAAUAAAAUGAUCUAUAUUUUAAGAAUAAUGUAUAUGUAAUUCAUUGUUACAUUAAUUCACUAUUUUAAAAAGCAAUAAAAAGCAUUUUCACAAGGUAUUAUUAUGAAUAAAAUAAUAAAAUAAGGUACUUUGACCCGGAACCUGGCAGCCAGGCAAAGCAAAUGUUGGUGAAUUCUUUUUUUUGCCAUUACAAAUGGUGGUUACAAAUGGUGAACAAAUAUAAAUACCUGAAGUUGAAUAAAGCUGCAUUAGUAGUAAGCUUAGGAUUUUAUAAUUUUUCUUUGAAGUGAUAAAUAAUAUGUAAGUUAUGUGAUGUAUUACAGAAAAAAUAAAACAAAGCAUCAAUUUUGAUUCAAAAAUUUAUGACUAUCAUCAAGACAUCAGUUCCUUUUAUAAAUUCUAAUUCUUACCUCAUAAAACAAUAUAUCUAUUACUCUGGCCAAUUAUCUUUCACUUAAACGAAGUGCCUGGUUAGAAGGAAAGAGGAAAGUUGGUAAUUUUGACUUAAAUUGAUAAAUGUAAUAUAUACUUCCCAUUUACUGAGAGGCAUUGCCAUCAAUAUAUGGAGACUACAGUAACACUGAUUGUAAAUAUCCAAAUGUGUUUUAAAUUUACCAUGUAACAUGUGGCCCAAUUUACAAAAUCUAUUACCUAUCUAACACACUUUCUCCAAACCGGAAGAAAAGCUUUUCAUAAGUUGAAUAUAUUUUAAGUAGUAUUCUGAUGUGAGUACAUAAUAAUUUUAUACCAGUAAAGCAAGUGCUUAUACAAAGAAAAUAGCCACAGUGAGGAAUAAACCAGAUGCCUUUCUAUUAAAAUUUAAUGAUCCUUGUCAAGAGUAUUUAUAGAUCUGAGAGAGAAAUCAGAAUAUAGCAUCAGAUAAAGCACUUAAAAUUAUGCCAAUUUUUCUGACCCACCCAGAAAAUUAAAAUUUAGCCUUUUAUAACCCUAAUGGGAACAAUCCGUUAAUACCAAAUAUACAACAAUAUAAUAGCAAUUUCACCUGCUUUGAUUUCCCUAGCAUGUUUAAGCAGUAUUUUUUUCUUUUUUCCUUUUUUUCUUUUUUGAGACGGAGUCUCGCUCUGUCGCCCAGGCUGGAGUGCAGUGGCGCGAUCUCAGCUCACUGCAAGCUGCACCUCCCUGGUUCACGCCAUUCUCCUGCCUCAACCUCCCGAGUAGCUGGGACUACAGACGCCCACCACCACGCCCGGCUAAUUUUUUUGUAUUUUUAGUAGAGACGGGGUUUCACCUUGUCAGCCAGAAGUAGUAUUUUUAUUAAAAAAAAUUAAUUGCACAUCUGCUUGGCUUAGCUAUAUUAAAAUCAAUAAGGAAUUAAUAAAAUUUUAGUUUAUCAGAGAUACAAAGCAUUGUAAGAAAUUACUUCACUGAAAUUAAAAUAUUAAAAAGAAUUUUAGUCUGACUACAACUUUCAUCAAGCUAAGUUGUAACCAAAAGUCUGUCUUAUUGGCAAUUAUCGAAUCAUAAUUUGGUGGACUCAUAGGGUCACAUUCUUUGACACUCUAAGAGAAGAAGGGGUCUAUUUCUGCCCUGUUGCAUCUGGGCUUGCCUGUGGUGCUUUAACCACCACAGUGGGACAGAAAUGACAAGUUGUGAAAUCUGGGACUACUCCUGAGGUGAAUGGGGGUUCCCAUCUUGGCCUUUUGCAUCUUGAGCUACCACAUAAAAUGACUGACAACUCUGCUGAGGGAUUACAAGAAGUGGCCCUGAAAAUACAGGAAGAAGGAGAGGGGCACAGCUGAGCACACCCUUCUAGAGGUCUCCCCUAAGGCAUCAAGCAUGAGAGUGAAGCUGUCUGGAUUGUCAUCCAUACAUUAUUGUAUCAGCCAAGUUGCCAACUGAAUACCAUCCUGACUCUAAUUGGUACCACAUGGACUAGAAGAAUCACCCAGGCAUGUCCUGCUUGAAUUCCUCACUCACAAAGUAUGACACAUAAUGAAAUGUUUGUUGCUUUCAGUCCCUAAGUUUUAGAGCAGUUUAUUACACAGCAAUAAGUAACCAGAAAACAGAGGAUCUUAGAACUAAGAUGCCAUGCAACAACAGCAAGCAUAUUCUAAUACUGGCACUUCUCUAUCAUUUUGACAUAAUGUUUGAAAAUGGCAUAAUGUUUGAAAUGGCAAAAUAGGAAAUGUUUCCAGAGGCAUAAAAAUUCUCCUAAGAUUUGUCAAAAAAAGGUUGUGUAAAGAAUUUUUCCUAAAAAAC
rnacentral:lncRNA from 1 species